rnacentral:rRNA from 1 species
CGGGACCCCAGUACUUUGCCAGAGAUGCCUUGGUGCCUUCGGGACUCGUGAGACAGGUGCUGCAUGGCUGUCGUCAGCUCGUGUUGUGAAAUGUUGGGUUAAGUCCCGCAACGAGCGCAACCCUUAUCCUUUGUUGCCAGCGGUCCGGCCGGGAACUCAAAGGAGACUGCCAGUGAUAAACUGGAGGAAGGUGGGGAUGACGUCAAGUCAUCAUGGCCCUUACGACCAGGGCUACACACGUGCUACAAUGGCAUAUACAAAGAGAAGCGACCUCGCGAGAGCAAGCGGACCUCAUAAAGUAUGUCGUAGUCCGGAUUGGAGUCUGCAACUCGACUCCAUGAAGUCGGAAUCGCUAGUAAUCGUAGAUCAGAAUGCUACGGUGAAUACGUUCCCGGGUCUUGUACACACCGA